UACGUAGGGCGCAAGCGUUAUCCGGAAUUAUUGGGCGUAAAGAGCUCGUAGGCGGUUUGUCGCGUCUGCCGUGAAAGUCCGGGGCUCAACUCCGGAUCUGCGGUGGGUACGGGCAGACUAGAGUGCUGUAGGGGAGACUGGAAUUCCUGGUGUAGCGGUGAAAUGCGCAGAUAUCAGGAGGAACACCGAUGGCGAAGGCAGGUCGCUGGGCAUUAACUGACGCUGGGGAGCGAAAGCAUGGGGAGCGAACAGG
rnacentral:rRNA from 1 species